AGCAGUGUAGCUUAGUGGAAAGAGCAUUGGCUUGGGAGGUCAUGGGUUCUAAUCCCAGCUCUGCCA
rnacentral:tRNA from 1 species